GCUGGGCGUGGUGGCGGGCGCCUGUAGUCCCAGCUACUUGGGAGGCUGAGGCAGGAGAAUUGCUUGAACCCGGGAGGCGGAGCUUGCAGUGAGCCGAAAUCGCGCCACUGCACUCCAGCCUGGGCGACAGAGCAAGACUCUGUCUCAA
ensembl:misc_RNA Metazoa_SRP Metazoan signal recognition particle RNA